CUAGAGCUCUUCGAACCUCUUUAAAGCAAAUUUAUCAUAAAACCAAAGCAAAAAAAUAUGAACUGGUGAAAACUCUUUCAAGCAGUUCUCUAACAAGGUUUUAUUUGUUUAUUGGUCCAUCUCCAGAUUUUGUUCAUGUCAAGGACUAUUUUUAGGUUCUUUUCCUAGAUGAAAUGGAAUACCUAUUUAUGUUUAUUGCUAUUAUACAAAAGCAUUCUAGGGAUCUGCUAGUAAAGAUGGACGAAAAAAGGCAAAGGUAUAUGUUUAUCCUUGAACGAGGCUCAAUAUCUUGGUGUAGUAAGUAAGAAUAUAGUUUACCUUUCUUCUACCAUGAUAUCUGAAUAUACAGCAUGCACGACUGCAGUUCAGGAAGUAAUAUGGUAGAGAAUUUAACCCUACAUGAGUUGAGGAUACACAAAACAUUUUUUUUACUUUGCUAGACUUUUGAACUUAGAACACUAACAAGUCAAUUUUUUUUAUUUUUUUAUUUUAAUAAGUAAAGCAAGUUACUUAAUCUUUAGUGUUAUGUUUAUACCAUAUACCAAUGGCAACUCUUAGUACAACAUUCCCUCGGAACAAACAACAUUGGGCCAGCCAGCUAUCGUUUGCAUGCAUUGGGAUCUUAAAAGCUACUCCCUCCGUCCCAUAUCUUACUUUUUGUUAGUAUGAGUUAGAGUAUAGUGUUUUUUCUUUAAAUUAUCGGUCUUGUUUUCCGAAAUGUUUGUCCCGCAUUUAAAAAUAUUUAUCAUCUACUUCACAAAAUCCCAUAAUGUAUUUGAAAUAAUGUUCGCCGUGCAUAAAAAUUUCAUCACAUUUUAAAAGGG
rnacentral:lncRNA from 1 species